GACGGAGGGUGCUAGCGUUGUUCGGAUUACUGGGCGUAAAGGCGCGUAGGCGGCCUGGUCAGUCGGGUAGUCGAAAGCCCGGGGGCUCAACCCCGGGAACGGCACCCGGAGACGGCCAGGCGUGGAGCACCGGGAGGAGGAGGGUGGAAUAAGCCAGUGUGAGAGGGUGAAAAUUCGUAGAUAUUGGCUGGAACACCGGUGGCGAAAAGCGGCUACUCUGGCCCGGUUCGGUGACGCUGAGG
rnacentral:rRNA from 1 species